AUUUGAUCAGCAACACCUGGCUGCUGUGUAUGUAGUUUUUCACACAUGGCUUCAGCAUUUUAGCAGAUUAAAAAAAAAUGAUAUACUUGAAUCUGUUGUGUGUUGUUCUACACCUGAGCUUAAAGUUACCUAAUUUUAGGACCUGCCAGCUGCCUACCUGGUAAUGGAGCCUGGAGGUGACACUGCUGAUUCUUCAGAUGUCUCUCAAGCCUCCUUCCACAACUCCGACCCUCUACAAGCUGCAGGGCUCUAAGGGUCGUCUGUCAUGGCCGCUGCUACAGCAGAUUCCUUACCAAAGCUUCCCCAUGUGCCGUCGGCAAUCCAAAAGAGCCGCAAGCAAGUUCAAGCCUCAAACGACCAUCACCUUAUCAAUAAAUCAUUUAAAUGCC